UACGAAGGGUGCAAGCGUUAAUCGGAAUUACUGGGCGUAAAGGGGGCGUAGGCGGUUCGUUAAGUCUGUCGUGAAAUCCCCGGGCUCAACCUGGGAAUGGCGAUGGAUACUGGCGAGCUAGAGUGUGUCAGAGGAUGGUGGAAUUCCCGGUGUAGCGGUGAAAUGCGUAGAGAUCGGGAGGAACAUCAGUGGCGAAGGCGGCCAUCUGGGACAACACUGACGCUGAAGCACGAAAGCGUGGGGAGCAAACAGG
rnacentral:rRNA from 1 species